rnacentral:lncRNA from 1 species
CGUACAUUGGCGAGGGUGUGGCGCCGACUUUGGAUCAGACUAGUUCUGUAUGCCUUCAGAUCAGCCAAAUCACCACAUUCAGCUUCCAUUAUCCUAAACUCAGAGAUCCUAAAACUUUCUAGCAAAUUUUCUCCAAUUUGUGAAAGUAACGAACACAAAAUAGCAAUAAACUCUUAGGAUAUUGAAAUUUUCUCAACACUGAAAUUCUAUAAUUUGUUGCACUUGUGAUAUGGUUACAAUCCAACUUCCACUAAAUAUCUCUACAUAAAGCUUUCAUUACUAUACUUUCUUAUCUGCUAUCUGCAGUUCCAGAAAUCUGAUUAAGUUUUUAUGCUUUUUAUUACUUUCACAAUUUAAUCCAUCCAGAAGUGAUAGAAUUAGUUCGGACAAAUCAAAUCA